CACGUAGGGUGCGAGCGUUGUCCGGAAUUAUUGGGCGUAAAGAGCUCGUAGGCGGUGUGUCGCGUCGGCCGUGAAAACCUGUGGCUUAACCAUGGGCUUGCGGUCGAUACGGGCAUCACUGGAGUUCGGCAGGGGAGACUGGAAUUCCUGGUGAUAGCGGUGAAAUGCGCAGAUAUCAGGAGGAACACCGAUGGCGAAGGCAGGUCUCUGGGCCACUGAC
rnacentral:rRNA from 1 species